rnacentral:rRNA from 1 species
UACGAAGGGGGCUAGCGUUGUUCGGAAUCACUGGGCGUAAAGGGCGCGUAGGCGGGUUGUUAAGUCAGGGGUGAAAUCCUGGAGCUCAACUCCAGAACUGCCUUUGAUACUGAGGAUCUUGAGUUCGGGAGAGGUGAGUGGAACUGCGAGUGUAGAGGUGAAAUUCGUAGAUAUUCGCAAGAACACCAGUGGCGAAGGCGGCUCACUGGCCCGAUACUGACGCUGAGGCGCGAAAGCGUGGGGAGCAAACAGG